GACGAACGCUGGCGGCGUGCUUAACACAUGCAAGUCGAGCGGUAAGGCCCUUUCGGGGGUACACGAGCGGCGAACGGGUGAGUAACACGUGGGUGACCUGCCCUCAGCUCUGGGAUAAGCCUGGGAAACCGGGUCUAAUACUGGAUAUGACUCCACGACGCAUGUUGUGGGGUGGAAAGCCUUGUGCGGCUGAGGAUGGGCCCGCGGCCUAUCAGCUUGUUGGUGGGGUGAUGGCCUACCAAGGCGACGACGGGUAGCCGGCCUGAGAGGGCGACCGGCCACACUGGGACUGAGACACGGCCCAGACUCCUACGGGAGGCAGCAGUGGGGAAUCUUGCGCAAUGGGCGAAAGCCUGACGCAGCGACGCCGCGUGAGGGAUGACGGCCUCGG
rnacentral:rRNA from 1 species